UCCACCGGCAGCUUAUCCAUUCCCGUUCUCCACCACCGGGCGUACGCGUCGUCCAAGCCCAAGAAUAGAACGAGGCGUCGCAGCAGGGGUUGUCUGCGGUCCACGUGAGCGAGGCGAGGGGCGGCCCGAGACGGUCGAUAGUGGCGCUGUCGUCGUUGUCCGCGAGGUAGAGGGUGGCGGCGCCGGUCGCAGGGAGGACGGGGGCACCGGCGGCUGGUGAACUCGGAGGCUGCGGCUGUGCGACGACGUCCGUGGUGGUGGCGACAGCUACGACGACGCGACCACGAUGCGGCAGGGGAUGGAGGCUUCCUCGCCUGGGCUCGGGCGCGUCAGCACGGCGUCGGGCCGUUGCCGGUGGCGUCGAGGCCGGCGCACGCACGGACAGGGCGCCCAAGGGUGAGCCGCCGCGACGUGUGGGCGGGCUGAGCCGGGCGUUCAACCACGAUGCGGCGGGGAUGAAAGCCGCCUUGCCGGGGCUUGCGGGGCAGCACGGCGUCGGGCCGUUGAGCAGAUCUUCUCCAUCCACGAGUCCAACUUCCUGUUUGGCGCGCAGGCGCUGGAGCCGGCAGGGGCGUGCUCUGCGGGGCACGCUCGCCGCGGCCGUGCUGGUCAGGCUCGAGCGCUGACUGCGGGAGCUGUCCGGGAACCCCGAGGCCCGCGUAGUGGACUACUUCAAGCAGGGUCCGGCGCCGGAUGGUUCCUGGCGGCUGCGUUGUUCGCGCGCCGGAUGCCGGCGGAGGCGGCGUGCGACGUCGUGGCCAAGAACCGCAAGGUGUUCUCCGGGCGCCACGGCCGCGGUGGGUUCUUCUCCGGGGCCGAUGCAGGUUUUGUAAUUGCUUGAAGUUGUCCAGUUCAGAUGUCCAUACACUUCAAUGAAAUACCCUCAGCUGCUUUCCAAUCUGAGAGUUGAAUCGAAGGUGUGCAUUUGAACCCGUGAAAUUAUUAUUUUGUUUUUUCGUAUCUCAUCAGUUUUUUGAUUCUUAGAUUGAAGAGAUCCUACGGAAUUCUACAACAUCUGAAUUUGGUAGUGUAUAUUAUUUUUCGGAGAGAGGUGAUUGAAUGAUUGAUCUUGAUGUGUUCCAUCAAAAGCUUAUCUAGGUUGCUUGUUCAGUCCUGUUCAUAUUGGGUUUGAGAUUAUUAUGUUCUUCAAGUUGCUUCUCUUGAUGUUUAGAUGUCUCAAGAACUGCGCACACAAUUGAGCGAGUCUGAGAAAGGAGAGCUAAAAGAAUCGUUCCAUCAUAUGCUGAAAUGGGCCUGGAGAUAUAAUAAAUAUCUUGAAGAACAGGCAGCCCAGCUUCACAUGUUAACUAGCUGGUCGAAAACUGUUGAAGUGAGUUGUGUGUGUGCAUGACCACUUAAUCUUUUCUGUUGGGAAUUUCAUAUUGUAACCCGCUUAUUGUUAAUUUCAGGUAGCUGUAUCAAGAAGUAAUAAUUUUAAGACAUUGAAGUUCAGAACCUCUAUUGAAACUCUUUCGUAGUAUUAUAUGAACUUCUGUAUUUGAACUCUUUCAUAGACGUUUAUACUGAGGUUGCUCUUCUAUAGACAUUUAUAGAGGUUGCUCUUUUAUAGACAUUUCGAAGCAAGCCGCUAAGCCCAAGUCUCGAAUCAGGAUUGUCGUCGUUCGUCAGUCCCAAUGCAGCUAGGAGAUUGUGGCGGCAGCGGUGGGUUUUGGGUCGGCGAGCUGCAGGGAUUUGCUGGACGCACGCCAUCACAUGUCGAGCCACACAUAGUGACCGAUGGUGGCGGAUUAGAGUUGGAAUUCAAGAGGUUUGUGUGGUUUCAGUUAUCCGAUGAUUGGGCGAGAGCGGAGCAACAGAGGCCGGCCAAGAACAUGACCAGGGAUAACACAUCUUGCUUGAUUUCCCGAGCGACCCAAGGUUGGUUGCAUCCUGCAUGACCUCAUAUUGUUCAUGAGAGUUUUGUGAUGUUCUUUUUUUAGAGAAGUUUUGUGAUCUUAAUUCAUGAGACAUUUGACGUGAUACUAUGUGGCUGUAAACGUAAUCUGCAAUUCAGAGCAAACAGAGUGAACAAACCAAGGACAUGCAGGUUAGUCCGUUAGUGUCUUA